UCAUUUGAUGUUAAUUUUUGUAAUAUAAGGAAGCAGUCACAAAUCAAUUUUUCUUAUUAUUUGACAAUAUGCCGUCUUCUUUUGGAUUACUUAUGCUUUUAGUCACCUUCAUCAUAAAAUUUAUUUUGGAUCACAUUGAUGAUGUAAUUAGACUUCUUCAAAAUAUCGCCCCUAUUGUUCGAUCAUUACGAAGUGGUAAUGUUGGUCAAAUUCUUGGUACUCAAAAUGGGUAGUAAUAGAUAUAAUUUGUCUUCAAGGGGUUACAAUGGUUAUUUAUAAAAAUCGUAUCAUGGCACACUAGUAAUAUAUUUAGCAAAAGAAAAUGGAUGAAUUUAAAAUGGAAAGUUUCAGAUCGACCUUUUAGAAUUCAUGUAUAAUAAAAUAAGUUAUAAAAA